AUUGAACGCUGGCGGCAGGCUUAACACAUGCAAGUCGAGCGGAGAUGAGGUGCUUGCACCUUAUCUUAGCGGCGGACGGGUGAGUAAUGCUUAGGAAUCUGCCUAUUAGUGGGUGACAACAUUCCGAAAGGAAUGCUAAUACCGCAUACGUCCUACGGGAGAAAGCAGGGGACCUUCGGACCUUGCGCUAAUAGAUGAGCCUAAGUCGGAGUAGCUAGUUGGUGGGGUAAAGGCCUACCAAGGCGACGAUCUGUAGCGGGUCUGGGAGGAUGAUCCGCCACACUGGGGCUGAGACACGGCCCAGACUCCGACGGGAGGCAGCAGUGGGGAAUAUUGGAAAAUGGGGGGAACCCGGAUCCAGCCAUGCCGCGUGUGUGAAGAAGGCCUUAUGGUUGUAAAGCACUUUAAGCGAGGAGGAGGCUACUGAGACUAAUACUCUUGGAUAGUGGACGUUACUCGCAGAAUAAGCACCGGCUAACUCUGUGCCAGCCGCCGCCGUAAUAC
rnacentral:rRNA from 1 species